AGCUAGAGACCUAAAUUUUAUUGUAAAAUAUCCGUGUGAACCACGAGGAUAUCGAGUUUUGCUUCAAAAAUCCCGAUAUCUUUCCAUCGAUAAAAAAUCUUAUCGAAGAUAAGUCAUAAAAUUAUAUCUCAUAUAACUUUAAAGCUAAAGUCUCCAAAUUUUUAAUGUAGAUUAUAUGCAAUUUAUACAACUUUGGUUUUUGUUAAAAUUUACCCCCAACCCCUAUAUCCAACCCAACACAUAUUUGUAAAAGGCGUAUUUCAAAUACUACUGUUUCGGGGGUUCAAACCGAUGUUGCCACAUUCGCUUAUCUUCGCUAAGUUGCCACACUAAGUCAAUCAGCUGACUACAACUGAUCGUAGUAGGCAGUGUGCCCAAUCCGUCUUGAAAUAAAUUUGUCUGUUUUGAGCGAGGGCCGUUUAUUUUGACUCGGCUGCAAUAUUAUGAAUGGAAAUUCUUGCGACAAUUUCUUGAACUUCCGUAAUAUAUUACAGCAUUUUGAAAAUUGAUGUUGUUUUCCAUUCCACCCUGACCAGCGUUCUUACCACCGAUCAGUGAAUGAUAUUUAUUUUUCUGUGAUUUAACCAAUUGAGUGUAAACACUAAAAAGCGUGUAAACUUAAAUAUAGUGAGUAAACACUAAAAAGAUCACAUACACAAGAAUGGACAUUCGUCAAUUUUUCGUUAAAAGACCUAGGUUAGAAAAUCAGAAGAUUUCAUUUAGGACAUUUAGCGACAAAACACGUUCAUUGAUGCAUUGAAUCAUUGUUGCGAGUCCCACGGUUCAUCGGUAUUUGCAAAUUGCUGCGACGCUUCCCGUCUCUGUUGCUCCGAGCGAACGCUCCCUUUCUUCACUAAGGAGGCUGAAAACGUACCUAAGAAGUACAAUGGGUCAAGAGAGGUUAAACGGACUAGCUUUGCUCAACAUCCACUCUAAAAUUGAAGUCACUCCAGAGGAUAUUUUGAACGAAAUGGCAAAAACAAGUCGGAAAAUAGACAUUAUUUUGUAGAAAAAAAUUUGAAAUAAAGGUCAUCCAUUAUAUUAUUAAGUA